UACAGAGGUCCCAAGCGUUGUUCGGAUUCACUGGGCGUAAAGGGUGCGUAGGCGGUCGGGUAAGUCUGAUGUGAAAUCUCACAGCUUAACUGUGAAACUGCAUUGGAUACUAUCCGGCUCGAGGAAUGGAGGGGAGACUGGAAUACUUGGUGUAGCGGUGAAAUGCGUAGAUAUCAAGUGGAACACCAGUGGCGAAGGCGAGUCUCUGGACAUUUCCUGACGCUGAGGCACGAAAGCCAGGGGAGCAAACGGG
rnacentral:rRNA from 1 species